ACAAGUGUGGGGGAAGGAUUUUUGAUAGGUGGAUGUGCCAAAGUCUAUUUUGAGGCACGAGAAAAAAAAAAAAAAAAAAAAAGAAAGAAAAUUCGUAGAAAAAAAAAGAAGAAAAAAAUAAAAAGAAAAAUGUGAGAAAAGUGUGAAAAAGAGUUGAAAGAGCAUGGAAAUGAGCUCUAUGGUGUUGGGUCUUGAAGAAGGGGUCCAAAACAUUGAAUUUGACCCCAAGUGUUGCAUGAAUUUCCCCUUUGAGUUUAAAAGUUGAUUUUUGCAUUCAAAAGUGAAUUCGAAGAGUCAAUUUCAUUGCUUUGCUUACUA
rnacentral:lncRNA from 1 species